AGUGAACGCUGGCGGCAUGCCUUACACAUGCAAGUCGAACGGCAGCACGGACUUCGGUCUGGUGGCGAGUGGCGAACGGGUGAGUAAUGUAUCGGAACGUACCUUUCAGUGGGGGAUAACGUAGCGAAAGUUACGCUAACACCGCAUAUUCUGUGAGCAGGAAAGCAGGGGAUCGCAAGACCUUGCGCUGAUUGAGCGGCCGAUAUCAGAUUAGCUAGUUGGUGAGGUAAAGGCUCACCAAGGCGACGAUCUGUAGCGGGUCUGAGAGGAUGAUCCGCCACACUGGAACUGAGACACGGUCCAGACUCCUACGGGAGGCAGCAGUGGGGAAUUUUGGACAAUGGGCGCAAGCCUGAUCCAGCCAUGCCGCGUGAGUGAAGAAGGCC
rnacentral:rRNA from 1 species